AUGUUACUUUAGCAGCACCUACACUAAAACUGGAAUGGUACAGAAACAACCCUGUGUAAGGAUGACAUUCAAAUUCAUGAAGCAUUUCAUAUUUUU
rnacentral:snRNA from 1 species